UGUGUUCCUUGCAGAUGGAGAAGUGGUCUUCUCCUGAAAUCUCUGACAGGGAAGAUGAGAGAAAGAGCUGGAGGUGUGGCAGCCACUUAAGAAUGAUAAAGUAUUUUACUACAAAAGCCUCCUAAUGGCACAGAUGGGACUUCAUCAUAAAAGGAAUUGUAAGACUAGAGCUGAAGGCUACAGGUCAUUGCUUGGGGACUCAGAGUGACUGCUACCGGCCUUGGUUCUCCCCUCCACACCAGCUCACAAACCAGGCAGGGUGCAUAAUGCCUGUGUGUUGAUAAAGCAUUGUGUGCAAAGGCCCCAAGACAGAUAUUAAUAACUGUGCCACACUUGCACUAGCUUCUCCGUGGAAUCCUGCAAAUAGAGAUCUAUUCCACAACCGAGCGCAAAUCCAGCCCGAGACCACAUCGCCCCCUCCAGAUAUGAUGGCCUCUCUUUUAAUUCCUGCCAGUUCACCACAUCAGCGAUGUCUACAACUGGAGGAGAGGAGGCCUUGAUAAGGGGUGCCUAUCCCAGGGAAGAAGGGCAUGUGGGGGUCUGGUAUAGAAGCUGCUAGAGACCAGGAUUCAGGAGGCUGGCUUCUAGUGGGUAACCAAGCAGUAGCUCUCUGACCUUGGGCAAGCCAUUUAUUUCUUUGGAUCUCAUUUUCUUGGAUCAAAUUGAGAGAUUUGGAUUAAAUCAUCUCCAAAGCCGA